CAGCAGCCGCGGUAAUACGAAGGGGGCUAGCGUUGUUCGGAUUUACUGGGCGUAAAGCGCACGUAGGCGGACUUUUAAGUCAGGGGUGAAAUCCCGGGGCUCAACCCCGGAACUGCCUUUGAUACUGGAAGUCUUGAGUAUGGUAGAGGUGAGUGGAAUUCCGAGUGUAGAGGUGAAAUUCGUAGAUAUUCGGAGGAACACCAGUGGCGAAGGCGGCUCACUGGACCAUUACUGACGCUGAGGUGCGAAAGCGUGGGGAGCAAACAGGAUUAGAGACCCCAGUAGUCCCUGUCUCUUAUAC
rnacentral:rRNA from 1 species